GAUGAACGCUGGCGGCGUGCCUAAUACAUGCAAGUCGAGCGAACGGACGAGAAGCUUGCUUCUCUGAUGUUAGCGGCGGACGGGUGAGUAACACGUGGAUAACCUACCUAUAAGACUGGGAUAACUUCGGGAAACCGGAGCUAAUACCGGAUAAUAUUUUGAACCGCAUGGUUCAAAAGUGAAAGACGGUCUUGCUGUCACUUAUAGAUGGAUCCGCGCUGCAUUAGCUAGUUGGUAAGGUAACGGCUUACCAAGGCAACGAUGCAUAGCCGACCUGAGAGGGUGAUCGGCCACACGGGAACUGAGACACGGUCCAGACUCCUACGGGAGGCAGCAGUAGGGAAUCUUCCGCAAUGGGCGAAAGCCUGACGGAGCAACGCCGCGUGAGUGAUGAAGGUCUUCGGAUCGUAAAACGCUGUUAUUAGGGAAGAACAUAUGUGUAAGUAACUGUGCACAUCUUGACGGUACCUAAGCAGAAAGCCACGGCUAACUACGU
rnacentral:rRNA from 1 species